CUUCGACAGGGAGUAAAGUCGGUCAGCACCCAACGUCAGCCCGAAGGUCGCACGCAGGCAGUGACACGGAACGCGUUAUAGGCGCCCUCCGCUCGAGCGUGACCCGACGUUCGAUAGAAGGUAUAGACACUGCAAGCUGACAGAGAAAUGAGAAUUAAUAAAUUUGUUAACAAGGUACUGAAUGUUUCAGCGACUGGUGGCUUGUGUUCUUUGAAGUUUUUGCUGCAAAAGUGGUGCAGGAGGUCGACAGGUUUUUCUUUGUACACGAUCUGUCCAGUGAGGUGGUGAGCAUCUUCGAAAUGUACAGUGCUUCGGUGGUUCGAACCAGACCUUCCUCUUUGUUGAGUUUGACGGUCAAUCUCCCAUCAAUGUAUAUCCACAUGGAAUAUAUUUAUAAUAAUUGUGAAAGCAUAAGGUAAAGGCUCUUAAUAAUAAAACAUUGUUAAAUAUG
rnacentral:lncRNA from 1 species